UUUUUCAUUAUUGUAUCAUGAGCACAGAGUUCUAAUAAUUAUACAAAAUAAUUAUUAACAAAGAAUUCUUAGAUUUUUAUCAGAUCUCACAUCAGAAACCUCCACUGACCUCCCAUCAGAUCCUCACAUGGCAGUAAUUUUUAAGCAUCACUGUACAAUUCAGUACAUUUCUCCUGACCUCUUGGUUCACCAUUUUCCAUCUCACAGUGAAGAUGAUCAACAUAUGAUGCUAGACAAAAUUAGCCUUCUUUGCUUUCCUGAUUUCACAGACUUUAUGUUAUUUUAUGCUUUCAUUUGGUAUUUUUCUGGGCAAAGUUUCUCUUGCUAUUUCUGAAUAAAUUUAUCAUCUUGAGGUUAGUAGUUUAAUAGGAACAUAAAAAUGGAACAUAAAGGGCCUAUACUUUAUUUUCCUUAAUAUAUUGAAUGAACCUUUAUUUUCCCUUUCCAUUCAACUUUCUUAGAAAGCUGCCAUUGCAUUUGGAUGCACUGAGGCAAAAGGAAAACAAAUACACAUCUGACUAUGCUGAGUGAAAGUAGUGAAGUGACUCCCCAAGUGAAAAACUGCCAAUGGGAGGUCGUGUCAACUCCUAUCAUCCUCUAUCAGCUCUCACUAAGGUCAGGUCCAUCUGUCCCCCAUGUGGCGGAUGGUUUCAAGUACAGAGCAGCUUACGAACAUUCAACACCAUAUUAAUCAAAAUAAUGAUAAAUUAUUAUUGUAAGCAAUUAAACAUGUCAUGAUUUAAGUAAAUCAAAUUUAAACAUCAAUAUGAGUUAUCAAUUCAUCAAAUCCAUGAAACUCUCUUCAGAAGCAAACACAUGUCAAAAAUGAAAACAAUGCAGACAACAAAAUCAUCCACAUUCUAUUCUAGGUCCCACCCUAUAUCUGUCCUCCAAUUUAGAUGGAAAGUGUCUCAAACCUAUUUUCUAUAAAUAUUAUCUUUACCUUAUCACCCUUCCACUUUCCCCACUCUGGAUUCUGCUGAUUAAUUCCAUGGAACAAGCUCUCACUAAGGCUACCAGUUCCAUCUACCAUUGCAGUGUAGUGGGUGCUUUCCACAUACAUUUUCACGAGUGCAUAGAGUCUUCUAAGCAGUUCAGUCUUUCAGUCAUGGUCUCCUCACUCUUCUCUCUUGUCCUGUUAACAUAUGACCAUCCCUCCUAUUUCCUUUGUGGCAUCCCGUCCCUUUUAAGGUUAAGGUCAUAGGACUCAAAUUUAAGCCUUUUUCUUGUUCUGAACUCUCUUCUCAUUUGAUCCCUUCUUCUGCCCCAUGUUUUACAGCUCAUGAAAUUGCUACUAAAUUUUCCAGUAGAUGUAUACACUCAAAUGUGUACAAGUUAACGAUAGAUAAUACCUAAUAGUUUUAUUUUUAUAUCAUCACAUGGCUUGGUCCCUUUUUGGUGAUGAAAUUCUGUUUCCUCCCUUCUUCUCAUUAUAGCAUUAAGCAUAAUUGAUAUUCAUGUCUAAUUCUAAUUAGUAUCAUUUAAAAAUAAUUAAUAUUUAAAUAUUUGUAACUUAUUGUUUUUUGGUUUAUUUCCUUGAAAAAAAUCAAAGAUAGAAAAAAGCAGAGUUGGAUUUAUUAUGUUCACUUCUGUGUCUUGAGGAUAACAUACAACCUGACUUAGAGGAAGUCUACUUUAACUUCUAAGGAGAGUCUAUUUAUACUGGGUGGAUGAGUUAUAGCAACCAGUGUUAGGCAGCUUACACAUGUAGUCUUAUUGUUUCUUUGUUAAAGAAAAAGCAAACACAAGAAGUUUUCUAUAGUAAAAAUUUCAUCAACAAAGAAAAAAAAUAAAUACAAAUACAUAUUUUUUCUAUUAACAAUAAUGUAAAAGUACACAUAAUACUUUAAGAACCGAAAUAAUUUAAAUAAUAUAAAUAGGUAAAUAAAUAAGUAUUUAAAUAGAAAAAUAAAUAGGCAGCAAGGGCAUCUAUAAGGAUGAAUCCAUAUAAAUCUUUAGAUAAAUAAAUAAAUAUUUAAAUAGAUAAAUACAUAGAUCAGCAAGGGCAUCUGUACAGAACCAGUGCCUAUAGAGUAGAUCAAGAUGUUGUUAACACUCCUGAAAACCUUUGACAAAUUGAGUCACCUUCACGGCAGGAUGAUACAGAAAUGAGAGGCCGUGACAUGGCAGCACAGGAGGAAGAAUGGGCUUGUUAGUCUGUAAGAAGCAUUUCUAUGAUGAACCAGGUGUCUGUCACUCCUUCUUCCUGAGUCUGUCUUGCAGGUUUCUGGAGGAAGAGAAGGAUCUCAUGACUUCUGCCCUGACGAUCUCCCAGGCACAGGGGCUGUAGCUCUUCUCUUGCAGAUAGAGGGUGAAUACAUGCUACUGGACUGAUCCUCUGUCAAAUUCCAUGAGUGUGUUUAAUUUCCAGCAUAAUAAACAAAUGAGGCAUUGGAGUUGUCACAUUACUUGGAAGAGGUAUUGAGAAAAACGUGGAAACAACAUUGAGAUAGGAAGAGAAAUGACAAUCCUGGCCUGUAUAACACUGUCCCUUGCAGGCAGGUUUUCAGAGCAUCUGGAGAACGUCUCCUAUGGCCAGACAUCUGCAUCAGCAAGCUCACUGGGGACCUGCCAGGCUCUUCACUGGUGACAUGGAGGAUGAUGGUCUCCAGCCCCGUCUGCAGACUUAGCUGUGACCUGGCCCAGAUCCAUGGCCUGCCAAAGCAGGAGACCCCCACAGUUCUGCACCUAAUGGGGAGAGUCCUCCUUGUUUUCCUGCCUGAAGGACAGGAAUGCUUUGGGGUUCCCCAAAAGCUGAACAGCAGGCAGUUGCAAAAAGCUCAGGCCACCUCUUUCUCCAUGAGAUGAUCCAGCCGAGCUUCAACUUGUUUGGCACAAACAGCUGAAAUUCCUCACUGGGCUUGAUCAGCAGGAGGAAGCUCUGCAGACCAGUUUGGUGCAGGAGCCUGGGGAAGAAAAGACCUUCCUGGAGAUGAGGACUCUAGCCUGACUUUGAAUAACUCCUUUUGAAGGACCAGGUUACAUCUGAAAAGGAAGUACAUAGCUGCUGUGCACGGGACAUUGUCAGACUGGAAAUUAAGACCUGAAAACCAGUAUGUGCUUUCCCUAUAGCAUCAACCUCAGAGAAAAUCCAGGAGUGGGAAAGGAGACUUGGACCCAGUCAUGUACAACUGAGUCUUAUCUACUUAUAGGUGCCUCUUGUGUGUCAGUGUUCCCUCAGUUCAAAGACUUUUCUGCUUCGGUUGUAAAUGCAUUGAGUCAUCUCGGCAAAUUGUUUUUCAAUACUAAAAAGAGAGUAUAAUUUUGAAUUGAGAGUAACUUUUUAGUGUGGUAUUUACAGAUAAAUUCUCUAUGAGUUUUGUAUUUACAAAUUUUUUUUUUCAUUUUAUGCCCUGCUAUGUAUCUUGUUUUUCUUUGCACUGGGGUGCAAGAGACAUACUUUGUUUUUUUAAGGCUUUGCUUACUGUAUUUUUUUUUAUUUUAUGAUUUUUAUUUUUUCCAUUAUAGUUGCUUUACAGUGUUAGAUCUUACUCACACUGUUAUGCAAAGUAUCCUUAAACCUUUAAUCGGCCUUAAAACCCUAAAAGAAUGUUUUACUCAUUUCAUUGAUUCUUAAAAUAUUUUUAAGAAUCUUUGUUCCUAGUAAUUUACUUGUGUUUGUAAAUAUAUUGGUAAAUAAAACAAAGAUAUCACUUUCU
rnacentral:lncRNA from 9 species